rnacentral:rRNA from 1 species
AUGCCGCGCAACCUUCGCCGGUAUCAUGCACCCAUUAUUUACCUUCCUCAAAACAGCCACCAUACCUACUUAUUAUGGCAUUUCCAUAGCCAUUCCGAGAUAUAUUGCCAUGCAACUUUCCACUGUUCCAUUUAUUAUGACAUGGUCCAUCAUUUUCAUAUUGCUUUGCAUGAUUGUAAGAUAGCUAGCAUGAUGUUUUCAUGGCUUGUCCGUUUUUUUGAUGUCAUUGCUACUCUAGAUCAUUGCAUAUCCCGGUACACCGCCGGAGGCAUUCAUAUAGAUUCAUAUCUUUGUUGUAAUAUUGAGUUGUAA